rnacentral:rRNA from 1 species
CCUACGGGAGGCAGCAGUGAGGAAUAUUGGUCAAUGGGCGCGAGCCUGAACCAGCCAAGUCGCGUGAGGGAAGACGGUCCUAUGGAUUGUAAACCUCUUUUGUCGGGGAGCAAAAGACGCCACGCGUGGCGUUCCGAGUGUACCUGAAGAAAAAGCAUCGACUAACUCCGUGCCAGCAGCCGUGGUAAUACGGAGGAUGCGAGCGUUCUCGGGAUUUAUUGGGUUAAAAGGGUGGGUGGGGGGAUUUUUAAGUCAGCGGUAAAAUGUCGGGGCUCAACCCGGGCCGGCCGUUGAAACUGGGGAUCUUGAGUGGGCGAGAGGUAUGCGGAAUGCGUGGUGUAGCGGUGAAAUGCAUAGAUAUCACGAAGAACUCCGAUGGCGAAGGCGGCUUACCGGCGCCCGACUGACGCUGAGGCACGAAAGCGUGGGGAUCGAACAGGAUUAGAUACCCUUGUAGUC